rnacentral:rRNA from 1 species
ACUGGAAAUCAUUCCACCCUGAAUGUGCCCAACCUCAUCUGAUCUCAGAAGCUAAGUAGGGUCAGGCCUGUUUAAUACUUGGAUGGGAGAAAUUCUACACAACUGCUGAUUUAUUGAA